AUGAUCUCUGAUUGGUCACUGUACCACUUGAGCCCGCCCAGGAAGCUGUCCGCAUCCAGGUCACUGACAUCAAGCUCUGAGAGGUCGAGUUCCGGGAGGUCCGGACAGAGGGGUUGGUCUUCGCCAACCAAGGCAGCACACUGGGGAGACGAGAAGACGGAAGGUGUCAAAAACCCAUCAACACACACAAAGGUGCGCAGACACACACGUUUGUCAUCUGAUUUCUUGGGAGCCUGGUAGAGAUAGAUGCCACCAGUCUACAAGGCAUCCAGGUGGAGGCUUGCUCCCAGCAGGAACAUGCAGCACUCUGUGUCAGGCCUCUUAUCUCAAUUAACUUGCUGUUGUCUCGCAAUGCUUUCAAAUGAGAACAGAGAAGCCACAUCGCCCGGCUUUUCUUUAAUCAC